GAUGAACGCUGGCGGCGUGCCUAAUACAUGCAAGUCGAGCGAACGGACGAGAAGCUUGCUUCUCUGAUGUUAGCGGCGGACGGGUGAGUAACACGUGGAUAACCUACCUAGAAGACGGGGAUAACUUCGGGAAACGGUAGCUAAUACCGGAUAAUAGUUGAAAUCGCAUGGUUCAAAAGUAAAAGACGGUCUUGCUGUCACUUAUGGAGGGAUCCGCGCUGCAUUAGCUAGUUGGUAAGGUAACGGCUUACCAAGGCAACGAUGCAUAGCCGACCUGAGAGGUUGAUCGGCCCCACUGGACCUGAGCACCGGUCCAGCCUCCUCCGGGAGGCAGCAGUAGGGAAUCUUCCGCAAUGGGCGAAAGCCUGACGGAGCACCGCCGCGUGAGUGAUGAAGGUUUUCGGAUCGUAAAACUCUGUUAUUAGGGAAGAACAUAUGUGUAAGUAACUGUGCACACCUUGACGGUACCUAAUCAGAAAGCCACGGCUAACUACGUG
rnacentral:rRNA from 1 species